UACGUAGGUGGCAAGCGUUAUCCGGAUUUAUUGGGCGUAAAGAGAACGCAGGCGGUCUUUUAAGUCUGAUGUGAAAGCCUUCGGCUUAACCGGAGUAGUGCAUUGGAAACUGGGAGAUUUGAGUGCAGAAGAGGAGAGUGGAACUCCAUGUGUAGCGGUGAAAUGCGUAGAUAUAUGGAAGAACACCAGUGGCGAAAGCGGCUCUCUGGUCUGUAACUGACGCUGAGGUUCGAAAGCGUGGGUAGCAAACAGG
rnacentral:rRNA from 1 species